rnacentral:lncRNA from 10 species
UGAGUACUCUAGGCAUUCCUGGCAGAGGAUACAGCAGGAGCAAAGGCCUGGAGGCUAAAAAUAGCUUGCGGGCAGGGGAGCUACCAGCAGUUCAGUGCUUCUGGAGUUUAAAGAGCCCGGCGAGGGUCAUGUCAGAUGACGCCGGUCCACGAGAAGGAGGGUGGAUUAUAUCCUUAGAGACGCCAUAGAGUGAGGAUAUAAUGGCUCUGUAACAAGCAUAAACUGUGAUGGUCUGGGAUGCCCUCGUCAUAGACAGCCCCUGGAGAGUCAUAAUGUUUAUCGAUGAGAAAACAGAAAUUUGAAGAGGCAAAGCAAGUUGCCCAAGGCCAAGGGAGAAGGUCAGCGUGAACUGCUACCGCCAUGUUGAAGUUCAUCUUCUCUUCACUGCGAGAAGCUGCCUGGACACCAGGGUGGAGGAGCUGUCAGGGCCCUCACUGUGGAAGGGCUUACAAUUAAGUCCAUACCCCCGCCUCCCGCCUGGCUUUCACUUCCUUGCUUUUGGAGAGAAGAUGAAUGGAAAUGUAUGACUUUGUCUGUGGUAUAAAGACAUGGAUUCAAGUUCAGGGUUUGCCAUGGACCUGCCGUGUGACCUUUGGAAGGUCCACAGAAAACAUCCUGGGGUCCUGAGCUGAAGUGUGAUGGGAGGAGUCCUCUGUAUCUCAGUCUGAUCCUGGUCUCCCUCUCGGCCAUGGUCUCACACUAGUGCUGCUGGGAAACCAUCCCUCACAUCCAGUCCUGGCAUCGGGCAGUGACUCUGGUCCAACUGUUGUCCAACUCAAGGGUUUAGCUGCUUAGAUUUUCCUAAAACUUGAAUUUCAUUUUCCUCUAGCCAUGGAAUACAGAUUAAUCCUUUACAAUUAAAAUCCAAGUUCAGAUUUUAUUUGUUGUGGUUUUUAAUUAAAAUCUCACCAGCACUUUGUGGAUUUUUUUUUUCUUAGAAAGGCAAACACACUGUGCGUAUCAGUCAGCCUGGACUGCCAUCACAAAAUACCAUAGACUGUGUGUCUUAAAACAACAGAAAUGUAUUUUCUCACAGUUCUGGAGGCUGGAAGUUCAAGGUCAAUGUUCUGGAUGAUUUGGUUUCCAGUGAGGCCUCUCUUUCUUGCUUGCAGAUGGCUGCCAUUCUUCUGUGUCCUGUAGGGAAGUUCAAACUUUUCCUCUGAAGGUUUGAACAAACUGACAAUAUGCAGACUAAUAGGAGGAAGAAAGGCAUUCAAAGUUGCUAAUGUGCAUAAGCACAAGGCCACAGAAAAUAUGAGAUUCAAAG